CCUACGGGUGGCAGCAGUGGGGAAUAUUGCACAAUGGGGGAAACCCUGAUGCAGCGACGCCGCGUGAGUGAAGAAGUAUUUCGGUACGUAAAGCUCUAUCAGCAGGGAAGAAAAAAAGUCCUUUGGACUUUGGACGGUACCUGACCAAGAAGCCCCGGCUAACUACGUGCCAGCAGCCGCGGUAAUACGUAGGGGGCAAGCGUUAUCCGGAUUUACUGGGUGUAAAGGGAGCGUAGACGGCAGCGCAAGUCUGGAGUGAAAUGCCGGGGCCCAACCCCGGAACUGCUUUGGAAACUGUGCAGCUGGAGUGCAGGAGAGGUAAGCGGAAUUCCUAGUGUAGCGGUGAAAUGCGUAGAUAUUAGGAGGAACACCAGUGGCGAAGGCGGCCUGCUGGACGGUGACUGACGCUGAGGCUCGAAAGCGUGGGGAGCAAACAGGAUUAGAUACCCCUGUAGUC
rnacentral:rRNA from 1 species